GAUGAACGCUGGCGGCGUGCCUAAUACAUGCAAGUCGAGCGAACAGACGAGGAGCUUGCUCCUCUGACGUUAGCGGCGGACGGGUGAGUAACACGUGGAUAACCUACCUAUAAGACUGGGAUAACUUCGGGAAACCGGAGCUAAUACCGGAUAAUAUAUUGAACCGCAUGGUUCAAUAGUGAAAGACGGUUUUGCUGUCACUUAUAGAUGGAUCCGCGCCGCAUUAGCUAGUUGGUAAGGUAACGGCUUACCAAGGCGACGAUGCGUAGCCGACCUGAGAGGGGGGUCGGCCACACGGGAACGGAGACACGGUCAAGACGACUAAGGGACGCAGCAGUAGGGAAUCUGCCGCAAUGGGGGAAAGCCUGACGGAGCAACGGCGCGUGAGUGAUGAAGGUCUUCGGAUCGUAAAACUCUGUUAUUAGGGAAGAACAAAUGUGUAAGUAACUAUGCACGUCUUGACGGUACCUAAUCAGAAAGCCACGGCUAACUACGUG
rnacentral:rRNA from 1 species